CUGAAGACCCGCAGCAGGUUUCCUCGAAGGACACCCCAGAGCUCUUCCUCACUCCAGCCACGCCUCAGCAACUCUUCUAUGAGUACUGGGGUUGGACAAUGGACAUUUGACUUGGCUCCUGGCACAACCACCGCCUGUUUACUCUUUUGGCCCUCUGAGGAAGGUGUUCAGCCCUGGCUUUGAGGUUGUGGGUGCCAUGAGAAGAGGGUGUUCGAUCAUCUCAUUCACCUAAACACCUCAGGCAGCCAGCACAGCGGCUGGUUUGUAGCAGGUGCAUGUGUACUUGCUAAGUUGCUUCAGUCAUGUCCGACUCUUUGCAGCCCAAUGGACUGUAGCCCA